UACACUCCACUCCCCCUACAAUGUCUCCACCACCUUUCCUCCUCCUCCUCCUCCUCCCCGCCCUCAUCUCCACCGCCACCGCCGCCGUCUGCGCCCCCUCCGACCACUCCGCCCUCCUCGCCUUCCGCGCGGCUCUCUCAGGCCCCAAUACCACAGUCUUCUCCACCUGGACCGGCUCCGACUGUUGCCACCUCUGGCGCGGUGUCACCUGCGACCCCACCAACGGCCGCGUCGGCGACCUCACCCUCCGCGGCGAAUCCACCGACCCCCUCAGCACCGACCAGUCCAGCAUCAUGGCCGGUAAGCUCUCACCGUCCAUCUGCCUCCUCGACCGUCUCUCCUCCCUCAUUAUCUCCGACUGGAAGCAGAUCACCGGACCCAUUCCCGCUUGCAUCACCUCGCUCCCCUACCUCCGCAUCCUCGACCUCGUCGGCAACCACCUCACCGGCCCGCUGCCGGCCGACAUCGGUCGGCUUUCCCACCUCACAGUCCUUAACAUCGCCGACAAUGCGAUCUCCGGAAGUAUUCCCGCAACUCUUCCAAACUUGACCUCCCUCAUGCACCUCGACCUCAGCGGCAACCAGAUCACCGGCCGGUUCCCGGCCGGGUUCGGCAAGCUCAGCAAGCUGAGCCGGGCGCUACUCGCCCGGAACCAGAUCACCGGCGGGAUCCCGCUGUCCAUCGGGUGGAUGGAUCGUCUUGCGGAUCUGGAUCUGUCGGGUAACCGGAUCUACGGGCGGAUCCCGUCCGUGCUGGGGCGGAUGCGGGUGCUGUCCUCCUUAUACCUCGACGGGAACCGGAUCUCUGGCGGAAUUCCUCGGACGCUGCUGACUAACAAAGGGUUGGGGAUUUUGAACGUGAGCAGAAACAACUUAAAUGGACCGAUCCCUGAUGUGUUCGGGCCGGAUUCGUAUUUUAUGGUGUUGGACUUGUCGUAUAAUCGGCUGACGGGUCGGGUGCCGGCGUCGUUGGGGAAGGCUAUGUAUGUCGGGCAUUUGGAUCUGAGCCAUAACCAUUUGUGUGGCCCGCUACCCGGCGGAGAGCCGUUCGACCACCUUGAGGCUCCGUCGUUCGCGGGUAAUGAUUGUCUGUGCGGCGCGCCGCUGCCAGCUUGCAAGUGAGCCGGCUGCCAGCUUGCAAGUGAGCCGGGUUGCUAUAGCUAAUAGCUCUAUGGUGGGGUCCAUGCAAGCCCGUUACCUGUACCGUAUUGUGUAAUUGUGUGUGCUGCUAUUUCUUGAUUAUACGGUAAUUAUACGAACAAAAGCUAUGUACGCGAAUUCAGUUUAGUGUUUACUUCCCAGCAAUGUUACAGUGAUUAAUCUUCG
rnacentral:misc_RNA from 1 species